rnacentral:rRNA from 1 species
ACGGAGGAUGCAAGCGUUAUCCGGAUUUAUUGGGUUUAAAGGGUGCGUAGGCGGAAUAAUAAGUCAGUGGUGAAAUACCCCGGCUCAACCGGGGAACUGCCAUUGAUACUGUUAAUCUAGAGUACAUUUGAGGUGGGCGGAAUGCAGCAUGUAGCGGUGAAAUGCGUAGAUAUGAGGCGGAACACCGAUGGCGAAGGCAGCUUACUGGACUGAACCUGACGCUGAGGUGCGAAAGCGUGGGGAGCAAACAG